CGCAGCCCCCUUCCGCAUGACGACACCUGUGAUGGUGACGCGCCAGAGCGGCGCUGCGAUUGGCCGGGCGGAGGUCACGUGUAGAGGGGGGGACGUCUCCUGCGCAGCUUGUUUGCAGGAGUUGCUGGAAAUGGCGGUUGGGGAAGCCGCGGAUGGGCAGGUUCACUUCGAUUGUAAUCUGUUGAUGCAUCCGGAGCUCCUGUCCGGAGAUUUCCUCCUGCAGCUGUUGAAGCAGAGGGAAAUACCUACUGAGAACCUGCAUGAUGCAGAGAAGGAUCAGAUUGUUGAAGUGUACAUUCAGCAUGUCAUCCCCCUGCCACAGAGGGAGUUGCCCAAGAAUAGAUGGGGAAGAAAGAUGGUUGAGAAAAGAAAACACCAGUCCAUUUGUGCGACACAGAGUAAAAGGCCAACACCAGAGGUUUCAAGAAAAAGACCUCUAAUUGUGUUCGAUGGCAGCUCUACGAGCACGAAAAUAAAACUAAAAAAGAAUGACAGUGGAACGGCUGAUCUAGUCCAACAUCCGCCAGCAGGGAUUGCAAACACGAGUCCCAGUAAUAAACCCCCUGUCCAGCUAAGUGACACACACAUUCUGACUGAUGUUAAUGCAGUCAAAAAUCCAGUUCGAGGUGCUGUAUCUACCAACGGUAUGGCCACCAUGAAACAUGGAGGUGACAUGCCUUUGAAAACCUCACCUUUGCCGUGCCCAACAUCUCCUGGAGGCGCCAAUCCCAUAAAACUAAAGCGAGCGCUUCCAACAGAUGGAGAGGGUGAUCCACCAGUUGGGUGGGUAUACCUGACCAAUGCAGAGUUGGGAAAUUCUGUCUGGGGCAGCAUGGUGGCACAGCGGUAGAGUUGCAGCCUUGCAGCACCAGAGGUCCGGGUUCGAUCCCAACUACGGGUGCUGUCUGUACGGAGUUUGUAUGAUCUUUCUGUGACCAUGUGGAUUUUUCCCGGGUGCUCUGGUUUCCUCCCACACUCCAAAGACAUACAGGGGGAGUUAAGCUCUGCAGACCCAAAGAGAAAGAUUCAACAUGUUACUUGGCCAUAAAAUCUGCUAGUCCUAAUAUUUUGGGGACGGUGUUUUAUUUAUAUUUGAGUUAGCAAUGCCAACAAACCUCUUGGAAAUGGCAGCCUAGAAAACCAACUGGAAAAGAUGCACUCAUUAUACUGUUUUUAAAAAAUAUAACCUGACCAAAUUUGGUUCUGAAAAGUAGGCCAACUACUGGCAUACAUCCCCCACUGAGCAAUUUUGUACCACAUUACAAUUUAUAUAUUCUGUACAACCAUGGGUUUUUUUUGAUUUAGCUUUCUGUUUGCGAAAGGUUUGUUAUUAUAUUUUGAAUAGAAAAUAGAUCGUCAUGUAGCAUAUGAGGUACGGUAUAUCACAUUAUGCAUAAUUACUGCAUAAAUGAUCAGGCCUGCAAAUAACUGAAUGAACAAUGAGUUUAAAGCUGAAACUCCCUUUUAGUUGUAAUAAUGGUUCAAGAGCACCAUUCUGCCUUUAAAAAAAUAUUAUGCUGUAUUUUUCCAUCUGAUUUGUUUCCAGAAUUAACUCCUUUUUAUUUUUAAAUUAUAUUUCAUGUUGCAAAACAAAGCCCAAGUAAACGGCAUAAAAGUUGUUUCAAUUGUGCAGGAAUGGAAACAUGAGCUUGUAUAAGAAUAAAUCCACUGUGAGCGGGUAAAUUUUCAUUGAUUUCCUCAAUCCCGCCGGAAAUGUAAACUUGUUUCGGUCUAUUGUUUUAUUAAAGAACACUAUAUUGUCAUCACAAAUUUUAAA